AUGCUUUUGAGCUUGCUCUUCCAUGCCCACGGGGUGUAACACAUAUGGUAUUAAAAAAAAAAAUCUAUGGUCAAUGCCCAGCCAUCAAUCAAAUAAGUAACUGGGAGGGUCAUGCUGAUCUGGGUUUUGAGGAGUGGUGUGUCAUUUUCGUAAAGCCUCCCAAGACUGACUUUUUACUGCUGUCACUAAGACUCUGGAUGCUCACUGGAACCAAACCAAGCUUGCUGCUGGAUUGAGGAAGGAAGCAGAAGGCCAGGAAAUUCAAAUUGUUCUGUUGCCUCUCACCUUUGGACCUACAACUGAUUUCUCUCCCCUGUACCUAUGGAUCAGAAGACAGUGUGUUGUAGUUUAUAAAAGUAACAUUAUGGUUAACACUAGUAGGCAGCUGCUGAAAGCACCUUGAUCAUGUUUGUAGGGGAGUGUUCAGGUUGCUGAUAUGGAGCAUGUCUCAGCUUUGUGGCACCUGUGGAUUAACCAGUGACAGCAAUGUCAAUUGUCCUGUAAGUCUGCAGGAGUCCAGCACCCAUCCUGAGACUGUUCCCAUCCCCAAAUACACACACAGCCCCUUACUUGGUCCAUUGGAGACCACUUGCAGCACACAAUUUUAGAAUUUACUUUUAUG
rnacentral:lncRNA from 1 species